GAUGAACGCUAGCGGCGUGCCUAAUACAUGCAAGUCGAGCGAACAGACGAGGAGCUUGCUCCUCUGACGUUAGCGGCGGACGGGUGAGUAACACGUGGAUAACCUACCUAUAAGACUGGGAUAACUUCGGGAAACCGGAGCUAAUACCGGAUAAUAUAUUGAACCGCAUGGUUCAAUAGUGAAAGACGGUUUUGCUGUCACUUAUAGAUGGAUCCGCGCCGCAUUAGCUAGUUGGUAAGGUAACGGCUUACCAAGGCAACGAUGCGUAGCCGACCUGAGAGGGUGAUCCGCCAGCCUGGAACUGAGCCACGGUCCAGACUCCUGCAGGGGGCAGCGGUAGGGAAUCUUGCGCAAUGGGCGAAAGCCUGACGGAGCAACGCCGCGUGAGUGAUGAAGGUCUUCGGCUCGUAAAGCUCUGUUAUUAGGGAAGAACAAAUGUGUAAGUACCUAUGCACGUCUUGACGGUACCCAAUCAGAAAGCCACGGCUAACUACGUG
rnacentral:rRNA from 1 species